UUUAUAAUUAAAUACAUCUAUUGUAUAUAAAUGUUAAUAAAUUAUUGAUACAGUAAUAGCAGUAUAAUUAAUUUACUAUGCUGAAUAACAUAACCAAAGCUUUUGUUGACGUGGUACUACCGGUACUUUGUAAUGCAAAAUCAACAAAAUUACAUGAGAUACCUAUACGUCAUUUUUACACGAAUGAGUUAAAGAGACGACUGAAGGCAGAACAAAAAUUAAAAGAGAAAACAGAGAAAGAAGCAAAAGUAUGUGCUGUCGCAGCAGCAAAACCACAAGCCAAAACUAUAGAGAAAAAGGAUGAUGAAGAGACUAUUAGCCCAAAUGAAUAUAUUAAACUUAGGACACAAGCAAUCAAUCACCUGAAAAAUAUAAAUGAAAAUCCAUAUCCACACAAGUUUCACGUAUCAAUGUCUAUGGAAAAUUUUAUUGAAAAAUUUAGCAACACCAUAAAGAAUGGAGAAGUAUUACAGAAUGAAGUACAUAGCAUUGCUGGUCGUGUGUUUGCAAUUAGAGAGUCUGGUGCUAAACUUAUUUUUUAUGACCUCAGAGGAGAAGGCCUUAAAGUUCAAGUCAUGGCAAAUGCAAGACAUUACAGCAAUGAAGAAAAGUUUGCCAUUGAUAUUGCUAAAAUAAGAAGAGGUGAUAUUAUCGGGGUUGUUGGAAAUCCUGGAAAAACUAAGAAGGGUGAAUUCUCUAUUAUGCCUCGUGAUAUUACCCUUUUAAGUCCUAGCCUGCAUAUGUUGCCAACGCUUUAUUUUGGAUUACACGACAAGGAGACAAGAUUUCGUCAGCGCUAUUUAGAUCUUAUUCUAAACGACAAAGUGAGACAAACAUUUCACAUACGAGCGAAAAUAAUCGCAUACGUUCGCAAAUUUCUUGAUGAACUUGGUUUUUUAGAAGUUGAAACACCAAUGAUGAAUAUGAUUGCUGGUGGAGCUACGGCUAAACCUUUUAUCACGCACCAUAAUGAAUUAAAUAUGGAUUUGUAUAUGCGUAUUGCUCCAGAAUUAUAUCUAAAGAUGUUGGUGGUUGGCGGAAUGGAUAGAGUAUAUGAAAUUGGAAGGCAGUUCAGAAACGAAGGAAUAGAUUUAACACAUAACCCAGAGUUUACUACUUGUGAAUUUUAUAUGGCAUAUGCGGAUUAUAAUGACUUAAUGUCUAUUACUGAAGAUAUGGUAUCUGGAAUGGUGAAAACCAUACAUGGUAGUUAUAAAAUAACCUAUCAUCCAGAUGGACCAGAGGGUGAAGCAGUGGAGAUUGAUUUUACUCCUCCGUUUAAACGAAUUUCGAUGAUGAAAACCUUAGAGGAGAUGUUGAAAGUUAAAUUACCUCAAGCAGACCAAUUAAACACGCCUGAAGCAAAUCAGAUACUUAGCGAUAUAUGUACUAAACAUGAAGUUGAAUGUCCUCCCCCAAGAACAGCAGCUAGAUUGCUAGACAAGCUUGUUGGCGAAUUUAUAGAAGAAACUUGUAUUAAUCCUACAUUUAUCUUGGAUCAUCCGCAAAUUAUGUCGCCGUUAGCGAAGUGGCAUCGUUCGGAGAAAGGUUUGACGGAACGGUUUGAGUUAUUUAUCAUGAAGAAGGAAGUCUGUAACGCAUAUACAGAGUUGAAUGAUCCUAUAGUACAAAGGGAUAGAUUUGAACAACAAGCAAAGGAUAAAGCAGCCGGGGAUGACGAAGCACAGUUAGUUGACGAGAACUUUUGUACUGCUUUAGAAUAUGGUUUACCGCCAACCGCUGGGUGGGGAAUGGGUAUUGAUCGUGUUACUAUGUUCCUCACAGAUGCAAAUAAUAUAAAGGAGGUGUUACUAUUCCCACAAAUGAGACCAGAUGAUCCAAAUAAAAGCAAAGAAGUAGUUGAAGAUAAUAAAACAUCUAAUAAUAGUAAUUUAAGUGAAGUCAACAAAUAAAAACUGAUACUGUGUUCCUUUCCACAGUGUGCAAAUCAUUCUUUGGAAACAUGUUUUAAAUGGAACACACGAGGAAAGUAUUACCAUAUAUUUACACAGACACACAAUACCUUUAUUACAAUCACUCAAUUUACAUACAAUAAUUAAAUAUAUAUUAUCCAAAAAAAAAAACACAAUAAAACAUAAAUUAUACUUAAAUAUAUAUUUACAUCAAAAUAUUAUUAAGCAAGCAAGUACUGAACAAUAAUAUGUACUUGCAAUUUACUGGCAGCUUCUUCAUAUUGUCAAAUAUUUAGGUGAUAAAUAAAUAAAAUUUUGUGAUAUAA